AGCAGCCGCGGUAAUUCCAGCUCCAAUAGCGUAUAUUAAAGUUGUUGCAGUUAAAAAGCUCGUAGUUGAAUUUCGGGGUCAGCAGGUUGGUCGUGCCACUGGUAUGUACUGGCUUUGCUGAUUCCUCCUUCUUGUAGAACCGCAAUGCCAUUAAUUUGGUGUUGCGGGGAAACAGGACUGUUACUUUGAAAAAAUUAGAGUGUUUAAAGCAGGCUAACGCUUGAAUACAUUAGCAUGGAAUAAUGAAAUAGGACGAGCGAUCCUAUUUUGUUGGUUUCUAGGAUUGACGUAAUGAUUAAUAGGGAUAGUUGGGGGCAUUAGUAUUCAAUUGUCAGAGGUGAAAUUCUUGGAUUUAUUGAAGACUAACUACUGCGAAAGCAUUUGCCAAGGAUGUUUUCAUUAAUCAAGAACGAAAGUUAGGGGAUCGAAGACGAUCAGAUACCGUCGUAGUCUUAACCAUAAACUAUGCCGACUAGGGGUCGGAUGAUGUUAAUUUUAUAAUGACUCAUUCGGCGCCUUACG
rnacentral:rRNA from 1 species